rnacentral:misc_RNA from 1 species
CAGAUUGCUUAGCAUCUUCACUGUUGCUGGAUUGAAAUAUAACUGCAUGAUGAACUUUAGGUAGUUGUUUAUGGCAUAGAGUAGUGCUGGUACAGCAAGAAGGACAUUGUUUCUUGCAGCCUGGACAAAUGUGGAUAUUGAAAGAAGUGGCUUUUCUCCAACCUUUUGAUGCCUGGCCUGGAUUAAAAGCAUUAUUAUUGCAAAGACGACUUUUGUCGCCUCUGUCAAGAAGUUGACACUUACGGGACUAAACUUGAAUUUUCCAUCCACUUUCGACAUAAAUACCAAAACAGGCUGUAAACCAACCAGCAUACAAUCUCCUACAACCAAUAGGACAUUGAGAGCACGUUGCUUUGAUGAAAUCUUG